AUAGGUAUGCUGGAAUUGGUAGACAGGUCCCGCUUAGGACGGGAUGAUUUUAAUCAUGCAAGUUCAAUUCUUGUUACCUAUA
rnacentral:tRNA from 1 species